UACGUAGGGCGCAAGCGUUGUCCGGAAUUAUUGGGCGUAAAGAGCUCGUAGGCGGCCUGUCGCGUCUGCUGUGAAAUCCCGGGGCUUAACCCCGGGCGUGCAGUGGAUACGGGCUGGCUGGAGGCAGGCAGGGGAGAACGGAAUUCCCGGUGUAGCGGUGAAAUGCGCAGAUAUCGGGAGGAACACCGGUGGCGAAGGCGGUUCUCUGGGCCAUUACUGACGCUGAGGAGCGAAAGCGUGGGGAGCGAACAGG
rnacentral:rRNA from 1 species